UAACAAUGUAUGAGGUAACUGUAUGGUGCAAAGUGGUAGGCUAGCUUGAUACAUACCUAUGUAUAAUAUUAUAAUGAAGUCUUUAUCUCUUGCUCAAAUAUUUCUAUUCAUUAUACAGAAGAAAAAGUCGCUCAAUUUCUCCAAGACGUAAUAGAAGUCGUUCAAGAACACCAAGACGCCAUAGAAGUCGUUCUCCAAUUUCAAGGAGUUACAAGAAGCAAAGACGGCGAAGUUCCUCAUCAUCUCUACAUCGUAGAUCUUCUAGUUCUAGCCUUGGAUCCAUUGAGCAAAAAAGUACCAGUGAAAAAUUGAAAAAGGAGGAGGAAGAAAGAAAAAGGUAUAUUAACUGGCUCACUAACUUUAUGUUCUUUUUUCUGCCUCUCAAUUGUCCUUGGG
rnacentral:misc_RNA from 1 species